CCGGCCGGCCUGGUUCCUGGUGCGAGCCAGGCUGCUCAGGGAAGACAACGGUGAACCUCUCACGCCUUCCGCUCGCCGCCUCCGCCUGCCGCCUGCCGCCGUCUGCUCCGCGCCUACCAGCUACCGCGGCGCCCGUGCCUCCCUCCGCCUGCAGCAGGCUCGCCAUCCUCCGUCGUCCGCCAGCCGCGCCACCCACCGACCGCGUCCGCCCGGCCCCGUCUCCCUUGAUGCCAUGGCCGAGGCGACUGCCGUUGCGCCUUCUGCAUUGGCGCUGUCCAAGAUCCGCGCAGGCUAUGGCCGCUGCCAUACAAGCUCAGGAGGAACUCUUCAAGCCUCGCUUCACCGAUACCAUGGGAUCCACCUCAUCUUCCUCUCCCACAGUCCAAUGUCCUCGACGAUGACGGCGACCCCGUCGCCUUCCUCCACUUCCCCAUGCCGCCUGCUACCACCGUCUGCUGGACAAGCACGGCGCUUGUGGCGCGGGGCGCAGGGCCGUCGCUGAUGCGGCCGAGCAGCGUCUCAAGUGCAGAUGCGCAGCGCAGUGACACGGAGGUCCAGGUCCCUUGCCCACCCGCAGAAAACCUCCCCAACGGCGAGGAGGCAUUGCAGCACGGCAGAAGAGCUCCUUGUCAUCACAGAAGGCAGCAACGCUCCUUUCAGCAUGCGCAAUCAGGCCCAUGGUACUGACGAAUCUUUAUAUAUGUUUGAUCCUUUCCCCAGCUAUCUUAGAUUUCAGGUAAUUUUAAUCUGGCAUCAUAGAUUGAUACACAUCAAGUGUUCGAUAUAUGUCCUCAGAAGAACAGCUCAGUGAUAUAUCAUUUCCAUGUGGAUUAUCUAAUCAGUUUUAUUUGGAUUACACCUCAUUUCUACCAUGAGCAUUAUCCAUAAGUAAAUGAGUUCUUCUGUAUUAAAUCAGUAAGCUCAUUAGUCCUUUCAACCUACUCAGUUGUGUAUUGUUGCUUCUAAUACCUUUUACCUCUUGAAAUGCCUUACUACAGGCUACAUUGCAAGAUGAAUUAUGCAUUUGGGAAAAGUACCAUUUUACCAAUAUGAUGCUUAGCAAAUUACAUGGAUUACAUAUCCUAUUUGACAUGUGACAUACCCUGAUCUAGAACUUCAAGUUUGAGAUCCGAACACAUCUAUAUCUAUGGAAACUCUUUAUGUUAUUUGUCAAGACAUUAUCAUAAGCAAUAUAUCAGUUGUGCUGAACAAUACAUAUGGAUGAUAAGCCAUGCAUCCUAGGCUGGCCCACACCAUGGAGGUAUGCAUAACAAAUAUCUCAAGUCAUUUAUAUGCUUUUUGCUGGUGUGAUAAUCAAGAUUCAAGAUCUUCAAAGGUUUGUCCACCGAUACCCAGGAACUCUAAAUAUAUCAGUAAGCCACACACUGGCCAUGUCUUUUUAUUCUCUCAAGCUAACAGGAAAGUAUGAGGUACGAAUGUCUCAUCUCUAAUUUCUUGCAUUUCUAUUGCUGCACCUCUGUCAUUGUUCAAUCUCUCAGAUGUUGAUUUGACCAGGAUAUAACAAGCUUGCAAACAGAAAACAAACAGUCCUUGAUGCUACUUAAUACAUAAUUAGUAAACAUGCUUUUGCUUGCAUAUAUCUGAUGUAAAAAAAAAUGGAUGUUGUGUAGGAAACAAUGAUACAACUGAGGCGUCCAUCUUAAAAGAGAUCACCUGCAGCCAUUUUUUGCCAAUUUUCAGCUCUGCUUAGUCACUACUGUUACAAAUCGCUUGCAGAGCUGUUAUGCUCCUCGAUGCUCAGGGCUUCUUGACGCAUGGUGGCAACUUGGGGAGCAUUGAAUCUCCUUUUUUAAUUGCAUAUCAGGUGGUUUUCCCCAACAUAAGCGAGCACCCAGGAGAACAAUAGAAAAGAGAUUUGUUAUCAGUAUGACAGUAUCAUUUUCAAGAGUUGAGCAUUGAAGAACAUCUGGACAUUGCUCUGAGCAUGGUGUGUUCGAGAAAAAAAAAUCCCUUUACGUUGUGCACUAUGCAUAGCAGACCA